rnacentral:rRNA from 1 species
GAUGAACGCUGGCGGCGUGCCUAAUACAUGCAAGUCGAGCGAACGGACGAGAAGCUUGCUUUUCUGAUGUUAGCGGCGGACGGGUGAGUAACACGUGGAUAACCUACCUAUAAGACUGGGAUAACUUCGGGAAACCGGAGCUAAUACCGGAUAAUAUUUUGAACCGCAUGGUUCAAAAGUGAAAGACGGUCUUGCUGUCACUUAUAGAUGGAUCCGCGCUGCAUUAGCUAGUUGGUAAGGUAACGGCUUACCAAGGCAACGAUGCAUAGCCGACCUGAGAGGGUGAUCGGCCACACUGGAACUGAGACACGGUCCAGACUCCUACGGGAGGCAGCAGUAGGGAAUCUUCCGCAAAGGGCGAAAGCCUGACGGAGCAACGCCGCGUGAGUGAUGAAGGUCUUCGGACCGUAAAACUCUGUUAUUAGGGAAGAACAUAUGUGUAAGUAACUGUGCACAUCUUGACGGUACCUAAUCAGAAAGCCACGGCUAACUACGUG